rnacentral:tRNA from 1 species
GGGCCCGUAGUUCAGCCAGGAUAGAACGCCCGGCUGCGGACCGGGUGGUCCCGGGUUCAAAUCCCGGCGGGCCCGCCA